rnacentral:rRNA from 1 species
AACGCUGGCGGCAGGCCUAACACAUGCAAGUCGAGCGGUAACAGGAGAAAGCUUGCUUUCUUGCUGACGAGCGGCGGACGGGUGAGUAAUGUAUGGGGAUCUGCCCGAUAGAGGGGGAUAACUACUGGAAACGGUGGCUAAUACCGCAUAAUGUCUACGGACCAAAGCAGGGGCUCUUCGGACCUUGCACUAUCGGAUGAACCCAUAUGGGAUUAGCUAGUAGGUGGGGUAAAGGCUCACCUAGGCGACGAUCUCUAGCUGGUCUGAGAGGAUGAUCAGCCACACUGGGACUGAGACACGGCCCAGACUCCUACGGGAGGCAGCAGUGGGGAAUAUUGCACAAUGGGCGCAAGCCUGAUGCAGCCAUGCCGCGUGUAUGAAGAAGGCCUUAGGGUUGUAAAGUACUUUCAGCGGGGAGGAAGGUGAUAAGGUUAAUACCCUU